rnacentral:rRNA from 1 species
GAUGAACGCUGGCGGCGUGCUUAACACAUGCAAGUCGAACGGAAAGGCCCAAGCUUGCUUGGGUACUCGAGUGGCGAACGGGUGAGUAACACGUGGGUGAUCUGCCCUGCACUUCGGGAUAAGCCUGGGAAACUGGGUCUAAUACCGGAUAGGACGAUGGUUUGGAUGCCAUUGUGGAAAGUUUUUUCGGUGUGGGAUGAGCUCGCGGCCUAUCAGCUUGUUGGUGGGGUAAUGGCCUACCAAGGCGUCGACGGGUAGCCGGCCUGAGAGGGUGUACGGCCACAUUGGGACUGAGAUACGGCCCAGACUCCUACGGGAGGCAGCAGUGGGGAAUAUUGCACAAUGGGCGCAAGCCUGAUGCAGCGACGCCGCGUGGGGGAUGAAGGCCUUCGGGUUGUAAACUCCUUUCGCUAGGGACGAAGCGUUUUUGUGACGGUACCUGGAGAAGAAGCACCGGCUAACUACGUG